GUGGGGAAUCUUGCGCAAUGGGCGAAAGCCUGACGCAGCCAUGCCGCGUGAAUGAUGAAGGUCUUAGGAUUGUAAAAUUCUUUCACCGGGGACGAUAAUGACGGUACCCGGAGAAGAAGCUCCGGCUAACUUCGUGCCAGCAGCCGCGGUAAUACGAAGGGGGCUAGCGUUGCUCGGAAUUACUGGGCGUAAAGGGCGCGUAGGCGGACAGCUUAGUCAGAGGUGAAAGCCCAGGGCUCAACCUUGGAAUUGCCUUUGAUACUGGCUGUCUUGAGUUUGGGAGAGGUGAGUGGAACUCCGAGUGUAGAGGUGAAAUUCGUAGAUAUUCGGAAGAACACCAGUGGCGAAGGCGGCCUGCUGGACAUUAACUGACGCUGAGGCGCGAAAGCGUGGGGAGCAAACAGGAUUAGAUACCCUAGUAGUCC
rnacentral:rRNA from 1 species